CCUACGGGGUGCAGCAGUGAGGAAUAUUGGGCACUGGGCGCGAGCCUGAACCAGCCAAGUAGCGUGAAGGAUGACUGCCCUACGGGUUGUAAACUUCUUUUAUAAGGGAAUAAAGGGAGCCACGUGUGCCUUUUUGUAUGUACUUUAUGAAUAAGGACCGGCGAACUCCGUGCCAGCAGCGGCGGUAAUAUGGAGGAUCCGAGCGUUUUCCGGAUUUGUUGGGUUUAAAGGGAGCGUAGAUGGGUUGUUAAGUCAGUUGUGAAUGUUUGCGGCUCAACUGUAAAAUUGCAAGUGAUACUGGCAGUCGUGAGUACAGUUGAGGUAGGCGGAAUUCGUGGUGUAGCGGUGAAAUGCUUAGAUAUCACGAAGAACUCCGAUUGCGAAGGCAGCUUACUAAACUGCCACUGACAUUGAUGCUCGAAAGUGUGGGUAGCAAACAGGAUUAGAUACCCGAGUAGUC
rnacentral:rRNA from 1 species